ensembl:snoRNA small nucleolar RNA, H/ACA box 36A
UUCCAAAGUGUUGAGUUCAGUUCAGGGCAUCUUCCCUGUUCUGUUAAUUAAACUUUGGUACACUAAAAGGGGUUUGGAGAUAGAACUGGAUAGAAAGUAUCACUAUUCGUUUAUCUCCCAGCCUACAGCA